rnacentral:rRNA from 1 species
UACGAAGGGGGCAAGCGUUAUUCGGAAUUACUGGGCGUAAAGAGCGUGUAGGUGGUUGUCUAAGUCAGUUGUUAAAUAUCACGGCCUAACUGUGAGACUGCGAUUGAUACUGGAUAACUAGAGGGCAGGAGAGAGAAGUGGAAUUCUCGGAGUAGCGGUAAAAUGCGUAGAUCUCGAGAGGAACACCGAUGGCGAAGGCAGCUUCUUGGUCUGUCCCUGACACUCAAAUGCGACAGCGUGGGGAGCAAACAGG